ACUCAGUGUCAGUCUCUGAUCCAUUGGAAUGAAUCUACUAUUCAACAAUCAUGACCUCUCUAUUAGGAUCCAUUUUACACACCAGUCAUUUUACAUAGAGGCAUGUGGGCUAACUGGACAGUGAUUUGUAGACCAUGACUUGGCAACAUUCAGACAGUUCACAAUGAAGUUGUGGACCUGAGGCUGAACUCAUCAUCUCAAUGACUGAUCUCUCAUUCAUAUACUGAAGAUCUAUAGACUGGGUUUAGGAACUAAGGACUAUAACACUAUAAGACUGGUUUAAUUAAUUAAAUUCAUUGUUGACUUGUACUCUGCAUGUAUGACUGAAGUGUGUUUCUUAUUUUAUUGUCAAUUUUCAUGAUUUAAUCUCA